rnacentral:rRNA from 1 species
GGGUUUGAUCCUGGCCCAGGACUAACGCUAGCGGCAUGCAUUAGGUAUGCAAGUGGAACGACUCUGUUUCGGCAGAGGAGUCGCGAACGGCUGAGUAACACGUAGGAAUCUACCUCUAGGUGGAGAAUACCCCAAGGAAACUUGGGUUAAUACUGCAUAGUCCGAGUUUAACUCGGUAAAGGGUGUAACUACCCGCCAAGAGAAGAGCCUGCGGCCUAUCAGCUUGUUGUGAGGUAAUAGCUCACCAAGGCUACGACGGGUAGGGGGCGUGAGAGCGUGCACCUCCAGAAUGGCACUGAGAAACGGGCCAUACACCUACGGGUGGCGCAACCGGGAAUCGUGCGCAAUGGACGAAAGUCUGACGCCGCGAUGCCGCGUGAAGGAUGAAGGUCUAAUCGAUUGUAAACUUCUUUUGCUAGACAGGAGACUGUCUUGAGAAUAAGCACCGGCUAACUACGUGCCAGCAGCAGCGGUAAUACGUAGGGUGCAAGCGUUGUCCGGAUUUAUUGGGCGUAAAGCGUCAGCAGGCGUUUUGGUAAGUUAUCUUUCAAAGCUCGGGGCUCAACCUCGAAAAGGGAGAUAAUACUGCCAGAAUUGGAAUUCUUAGGGGCUGCCGGAACUUAACAUGUAGGAGUGAAAUCCGUUGAUAUGUUAAGGAACACCGAGGGCGAAGGCAGGCAGCUGGGAGAUAUUCGACGCUCAGUGACGAAAGCUAGGGGAGCGAAAGGGAUUAGAGACCCCUGUAGUCCUAGCCGUAAACGAUGCUCGCUAGGGGUCUUCGACUUUAUGUCGGGGGUCUCGUAAGCUAACGCGUUAAGCGAGCCGCCUGGGGAGUACGAACGCAAGUUUAAAACUCAAAGGAAUUGACGGGGACCCGCACAACCAGUGGAGCAUGUGGUUUAAUUCGAGACGAACCGAAGAACCUUACCUGGGUUUGACAUCCUAAUGCUAUCUUUAGAGAUAAAGAGUUCUUUUAAUUUAUUAAUUGACGUUAGGACAGGUAUUGCAUGGCUAUCGUCAGCUCGUGCCGUAGGGUGUUCCCUUCAGUGGGGUAACGAGCGCAACCCCUGCCGUAUGUUAAAUAUUCAUACGGGACUAUCCGCCUUUGGCGGAAGGAAGUGGGGACGACGUUAAGUCAGCAUGAUCUUUAUAUCCAGGGCGACACACAUGCUACAAUGGAGUCGACAGAGGGUUGCCAAGUGGUAACACGGAGCUAAUCCCAAAAACGGCUUCUCAGUGGGGAUUGAGGGCUGCAACUCGCCCUCAUGAACGUGGAAUUGGUAGUAAUCGCAAAUCAGCCAAGUUGCGGUGAAUACGUUCUCGGGUCUUGUACACACCGCCCGUCAAGUCAGCAAAGUUGGGGGCACCCGAACUGCGGUGUAUACCGUAGGAAGGUGAAACCAGCGAUGAGGAUUAAGUCGUAACAAGGUA